ACACAGACAGAAGCGUGCAAACAACUGCAGGAAACUCGUAUUUAGUGCACUGCUACUUAUGCUGUGGUUCUGCAGGCUGAUCUCAUUUCAGAGGAAUUUGUUUCAUCUUAACCCUCCUAAGGAAAAAAGGACCAUAUUAUGUAUCAAGGGUUACAUAAGAAAAUUGAUUUACAGCAGAUUUGGAUACAUUAUUCUACAUCAGAAUAAUUCCAUUUAUGUGGAAGGAAGAUGUAUUUCAUUACUGAGGAGCUAAGGAGUUAAAUGCUGAUUUUCCCGUACUUCCAACAUGGACAACAAGUCUUUCUUGAACAAAUCACUUUACCCACCACCAACAGCCAGUCUGAGAAAGCAAAUCACUGA